UUGGACAUAAAUUUAAUUUUCUCAGCAAGGCCAUUUUUAUACUUUCUGCAGAAAGGGUACACUCGCCAGCAGUUUUGCCACAAGAGUACACUGAACAAAAGAGACAGGGUCAUUUAUAACCUGAUGCAUCGACCUUACUGCUGUGUCUGGUUUCUAUUGGCUGGAACAGGACUUCGCAUUCUGUAUUUGUCUUGAUUGGCUAACACCUUAGAACUUUCUAAAAGAGGCAAAGGCAGAGGAGAACAAAGGAAGGAGGAAGUAACUUGUGGAAUGCUGAGAAAGGAAUUAAGAUGAGGAGAUAUAAUGAAGUUUCCCACUAAAUAAUAUGAAAAAACAAAAUUAAAAACCAAAAAAAUGGAAUGGACAAUAACAGGGCCCACUGAAUAUCCAAAUGAUGAGUUCAAAAAGACCCUCACGAAGACAUAGACUCAUGAAAUUUCAGAACACUGAAGAAAAUGAAAGAGGAAAAAGAAAAAGAAGAAAAAAUAUGUCAUAUCAAAAGGAUCAGGUAUCACAAUAGCUGUUGAUCUUCUCAUCAACAAUGGAACAAAGACUUUAAAUUUCUGAAAGGUCAGAUUAAAAACCACUUAAGAGAAAAAGAGCUCAAAUAUAAUAUUUCCCUGCAUCUUUUCUCAGAAAGCAAAGAGUAGAUGUGCUCCACCAAAAUGAAGGAAUAAACUAAGAACUCUGAGGAUGGCAUGGGAUCCAACACAGGAAAGAGGAGCCAUGAAGCAAAUCUACUGCAUGAGAUUGUGCACUUUGACCUCUGCUGAGCAGGGCCCACACACGACCCUUGUACCUUCUGGUUGGAUUGGCAAUGCAGGCUGAGCUGGUUGUUCUUCAGAAAUAAGCAUUACUGGGCCAAGGUUAAUUAUCCGUCUACUGUGAAAAGAGAAAGGAAACAACUUCACUAUCCCACAAAUGGACUGAGAGCAAAACCUGCAACAUAUGGCCAAAAAUAUGAAAUGUGCUAUACUUGUUUCAUAAAUUAAGUGAAUUAAAUGUCAAGCUGGAGGCAAAACUAC
rnacentral:lncRNA from 1 species